rnacentral:rRNA from 1 species
CCCUUAGAUGUUCGGGGCUGCACACGCGCUACACUGGAGGAAACAGCGUGUAUUGACCUGGUCCGAAAGGACUGGGUAAACCUGUGAAACUUCUCCGUGCUUGGGAUAGCGGAUUGCAAUUGUUUCGCUUCAACGAGGAAUUCCUAGUAAGCGUAAGUCAUAAGCUUGCGCUGAUUACGUCCCUGCCCUUUGUACACACCGCCCGUCGCUCCUACCGAUUGAGUGGUCCGGUGAGGCUUUGGGAUCUGAGCGGAAAGAGCGUUUCGCUGUUUCUGCUCGGAAAACUCAGUCGAACCUUAUCAUUUAGAGGAAGGAGAAGUCGUAACA